UUUCAUGAUUUAUGCUUAAUUUGACUAAUUUUAUUGAUUUAUUUUCAUUUAAGCACUUUAGAGGAAUUUCAUCUUUCAGCUUUCUUGGCCCCGGGAGUGCUCGGUCUCUGAUCAGCAGGGGCAUUUUCUCUAUAUAAGAAGAAAAUGGAGACUCCCUACCCACCCGAUGUAUUUUGUCGGACAGUUUUCUGUACAUUGCAGUCACCAAUAUAUCCAAAUAUCAUCACCGGCCCAGACGUCAUUCACUCCUUUGAACUGUGCUGGUAGCAGUAAGGUGUCAUCAUUUGAGAUGGUCACAGUAUCCAAUACACUGAAGUCACAGGACUCAAAUUUCAUACAUGUUCACAGCACUUUAGAGGAAUUUCAUCUUUCAGCUUUCUUGGCCCCGGGAGUGCUCGGUCUCUGAUCAGCAGGGGCAUUUUCUCUAUAUAAGAAGAAAAUGGAGACUCCCUACCCACCCGAUGUAUUUUGUCGGACAGUUUUCUGUACAUUGCAGUCACCAAUAUAUCCAAAUAUCAUCACCGGCCCAGACGUCAUUCACUCCUUUGAACUGUGCUGGUAGCAGUAAGGUGUCAUCAUUUGAGAUGGUCACAGUAUCCAAUACACUGAAGUCACAGGACUCAAAUUUCAUACAUGUUCACAGCACUUUAGAGGAAUUUCAUCUUUCAGCUUUCUUGGCCCCGGGAGUGCUCGGUCUCUGAUCAGCAGGGGCAUUUUCUCUAUAUAAGAAGAAAAUGGAGACUCCCUACCCACCCGAUGUAUUUUGUCGGACAGUUUUCUGUACAUUGCAGUCACCAAUAUAUCCAAAUAUCAUCACCGGCCCAGACGUCAUUCACUCCUUUGAAUUGUGCUGGUAGCAGUAAGGUGUCAUCAUUUGAGAUGGUCACAGUAUCCAAUACACUGAAGUCACAGGACUCAAAUUUCAUACAUGUUCACAGCACUUUAGAGGAAUUUCAUCUUUCAGCUUUCUUGGCCCCGGGAGUGCUCGGUCUCUGAUCAGCAGGGGCAUUUUCUCUAUAUAAGAAGAAAAUGGAGACUCCCUACCCACCCGAUGUAUUUUGUCGGACAGUUUUCUGUACAUUGCAGUCACCAAUAUAUCCAAAUAUCAUCACCGGCCCAGACGUCAUUCACUCCUUUGAACUGUGCUGGUAGCAGUAAGGUGUCAUCAUUUGAGAUGGUCACAGUAUCCAAUACACUGAAGUCACAGGACUCAAAUUUCAUACAUGUUCACAGCACUUUAGAGGAAUUUCAUCUUUCAGCUUUCUUGGCCCCGGGAGUGCUCGGUCUCUGAUCAGCAGGGGCAUUUUCUCUAUAUAAGAAGAAAAUGGAGACUCCCUACCCACCCGAUGUAUUUUGUCGGACAGUUUUCUGUACAUUGCAGUCACCAAUAUAUCCAAAUAUCAUCACCGGCCCAGACGUCAUUCACUCCUUUGAACUGUGCUGGUAGCAGUAAGGUGUCAUCAUUUGAGAUGGUCACAGUAUCCAAUACACUGAAGUCACAGGACUCAAAUUUCAUACAUGUUCACAGGUAGGUGUAUAGUCUUUGAAAUUACCACAAUUGACUAAUUCUGGGACAGGUAAGUAUGUAAGUAUAGGAAUGAGAGCACCAAAUCCCCG